CUUGCUGCAUGCUUAAUACAUGCAAGUCGAACGAAGGCCCUAGCUUGCUAGGUGUCCUUAGUGGCGCACGGGUGAGUAACACGUGGGAACUUACCUCAGAGUACGGAAUAACUAUGGGAAACUAUAGCUAAUACCGUAUAUUCCGGAAACGGGAAAGAUUUAUCGCUCUGAGAUAGGCCCGCGCAAGAUUAGCUUGUUGGUGAGGUAAUGGCUCACCAAGGCUCCGAUCUUUAGCUGGUUUGAGAGGAUGAUCAGCCACACUGGGACUGAGACACGGCCCAGACUCCUACGGGAGGCAGCAGUAGGGAAUAUUGGACAAUGGGGGAAACCCUGAUCCAGCAAUGCAGCGUGAGUGACGAAGGCCUUAGGGUUGUAAAACUCUUUCAUCUGUGAGGAUAAUGACAGUAGCAGAAGAAGAAGGACCGGCUAAUUCCGUGCCAGCAGCCGCGGUAAUACGGAAGGUCCUAGCGUUGUUCGGAAUUACUGGGCGUAAAGAGUAUGUAGGCGGAACAGAAAGUUAGAAGUGAAAUCCCUGGGCUCAACCUAGGAAUUGCUUUUAAAACUUCUGUUCUUGAAUUCAGGAGAGGAUAGUGGAAUUUCCAGUGUAGAGGUGAAAUUCGUAGAUAUUGGAAGGAACACCAGUGGCGAAGGCGGCUAUCUGGACUGACAUUGACGCUGAGAUACGAAGGCAUGGGUAGCAAACGGGAUUAGAUACCCCGGUAGUCCAUGCAGUAAACGAUGGAUGCUAGUCGUCGGACUUUUGUUCGGUGUCGUAGCUAACGCGUUAAGCAUCCCGCC
rnacentral:rRNA from 1 species